GUCCUCAGCAGUGAGAUGCCGAAAAGAACAGAGGCUGGCAUAAAUAAGCCAGCUUGCUGGGGUCAGUGGAAGAAGCCUUGCUGUCCCCAGGAAGCGGCUCCUACGCAAUGAAUACAGAGGCUCGACCAGAGACGGAGCCGACAGGCAGAAGGAAGAGCCUUCCAGACCCACGGAGCUGGAGAGACUGCCAUGUGAGCCAAGAGGAUCUAUGCACUGGGUAGCAGCAGGCUCUGGCUGACUGAAUGGCAGUGUAUAUACAGCCAGCCUCCAUCAGCCCUUUGGGGAACCCUGAGUCACGGCAUAUGUAGCCUCAGGCAUGUGGAUUCUGCCAGUCCACAUGCCAUGCUUUCUUCACAGCACUGGGAGCGUUAAGUACAGGGAAGGCAUUGGGCACAGGGCAGCAUGCAAGGGGCAGGGCAGGCAAAGCAGACCGCUCCUGGCUGGACACCAUAACCUGGCAGUGGGGAAGACUGGAGAAGUGGCCCCAAGCAAGCCCCUGAAGUCAUAAAGUCCUAAGGCCAUUUUAUUUAAUGAGCAGACUUGACUAAAAUAAUGGAAAGCUCACACCUGUAAUCCCAGCACUGAAGACGCAGAGAGAGUUGGGUUGCUGAGUUCAAGGCUUGUCUAGGUUGACCAAAGCAAAGCAAAGUACAGCAAACAAUCCAUUAUCUCCCUCCCGAAUGAAUUGUCACAGCAGCCCAGCCCCUACUGAAGGCUCCUGUCCCCCGUCCACAGGCCUGCUCUCUGCUACCCCUAACCUAGAAAGCACACCAUAUGCAAAGCUCAGACCUCGGCCUGAGAAAUGUCCUUGCACUUUUACCUUCCUGACAGGUGAGGAUCUUCCACAACACCUUGUGUGCUCUCAACAUGCCUGGCCACCACAGGUGCUGCAUACAGCCGUCACCUGCCACUGUUCUUCAGUGUGGAGCAGGGUUUACUGGCUACCUUCAGCUGCUAUGUAAUAGAGAACCCAGGUGCCAAACAUGUUUAGCACUAGCUAGUUCCAAUGUCUAGGCUCCCUGAAAACAUGAGAAAGAGGCAGAAGGUAGCUAAAAAGGGGUCUAAGAAAGAAAGGCUGAUUGAUGUGAGACUGGGAGAAGGCAGGGAGGGGCACUAAAGGUCACUUCUUGCUCUACACCUUUUCUGCCUGUCUAAGACAGGGUCUUGCCUUUUUAGCCCAGAACUUCUGAACUUACGGACCUUCCCGCCUCAGUCUCUGGAGUGCUAGAAAUCUAGGCCUGUACCACCGUAUCAUAUCCUGCAGCUUCUCGCAGGAUUCAACCUAAUGCUUUUAAAUCCUGAGACAAAGCCGGGGUGGGGAGCAGGACACGAUUAAGCUGGGUGUGGUAGCACUUGUCAGAAGUCCUACCUACACUAAUAGGCUAGUCACUUUAGCGCAGGAGUAAGGCCAGUCUGGGUAACUAGCAAAACCCUGCCUCAAGGCAAACCUACACAGAUAAAGAACAAAGCCGUAAGUAGCAAAAGACAGUUACUGGACAGCUAGCUCACUUACUUAUUCCAUAAAUAAUUCACUGAAGAUUUAUUCUGUCACAGACAACAGGCCAAGCAGCCAGGCUAAAAUUAAAAAAAAAUUGAUAGUGGGGAACCAUUUAGGUUUUAUGGUAAGCCCUUCUACUAAUGAUCUCAUUUAGUUCUCACAAUAGCCAGCAAAGUGUUCUGAACUACCAGGCCACACUACUGCUUCACUGUGGUGUCACCCCGGGAGCCCUCCUGGGAGCCUGAAAACAGCCACCAAACGGGGCUCUGUGUGGUGGCACACACCUGUAAUCACUGCACUUGGGAGGUGGAGGCAAGAGGAUCGAUCGAUCGAUCAGAAGUUCAAGGCCAAACUGAGCUGCACGAGGUCUUGUCUUAAUCCUCUCCCUACCCACCCACAAAGGCUCUCCAAGAGGCAUGAAAGGGACGUGUGGAGGACAGCCAUGUGACUUAGUGACGCCACAAAAAGUCAGUACUGUGUGAACAUUGCCACCGUGCUCUGUAGCCGGCUCCCACACAGGAGCGCUCUGGAGAAAUCCCAUGAGCAGUACAUUUCCUUCAGUUGUGUUCUGUGGGCCAGGCCGGGGCCCUUGCUCAGGCUCGCGGCCCAGCCAGGGAUGGAGACACUGCACUUAGCUGGAAAAUGGGCGGAAGUUGGUGGGGCCACAAUGGAUGCACUGCAGUUGCCUUGACUCUAGAAGCUCAGACAGGAAGGCUCGGCUCACCAACCAGAGCCAGAGGUGGCUCCUACAGGAAGGGUUAAAUAGGAGUCUGCCAAUAGAAAAGGCAGGGAAGGGGAAGGGGAAGGAAAUGGCUUCUUUCUCUUCUGAAAACCUGAUUAAAACAAAGCUGUAUGGC
rnacentral:lncRNA from 1 species